CGGAGGUGCAAGCGUUAUCCGGAUUAUUGGUUAAAGGGUCCGUAGGCGGACUUAUAAGUCAGUGGUGAAGCCUGUCGCUUAACGAUAGAACUGCCAUUGAUACUGUAAGUCUUGAGUAUAUUUGAGGUAGCUGGAAUAAGUAGUGUAGCGGUGAAAUGCAUAGAUAUUACUUAGAACACCAAUUGCGAAGGCAGGUUACCAAGAUAUAACUGACGCUGAGGACGAAAGCGUGGGAGCGAACAGGAUU
rnacentral:rRNA from 1 species